ACACUCCUACGGGAGGCAGCAGUGGGGAAUUUUGGACAAUGGGCGAAAGCCUGAUCCAGCAAUGCCGCGUGAGUGAAGAAGGCCUUCGGGUUGUAAAGCUCUUUUGUCAGGGAAGAAACGGUGAGAGCUAAUAUCUUUUGCUAAUGACGGUACCUGAAGAAUAAGCACCUGCUAACUACGUGCCAGCAGCCGCGGUAAUACGUAGGGUGCAAGCGUUAAUCGGAAUUACUGGGCGUCAAGCGUGCGCAGGCGGUUUUGUAAGUCUGAUGUGAAAUCCCCGGGCUCAACCUGGGAAUUGCAUUGGAGACUGCAAGGCUAGAAUCUGGCAGAGGGGGGUAGAAUUCCACGUGUAGCAGUGAAAUGCGUAGAUAUGUGGAGGAACACCGAUGGCGAAGGCAGCCCCCUGGGUCAAGAUUGACGCUCAUGCACGAAAGCGUGGGGAGCAAACAGGAUUAGAAACCCUUGUAGUCCCA
rnacentral:rRNA from 1 species